rnacentral:rRNA from 1 species
UGCAGUCGAGGGGCAGCGUAGAUUGCUUGCAAUCUGACGGCGACCGGCGAACGGGUGCGUAACGCGUAUAGAAUCUGCCUUGUACAGGAGGAUAGCCUUUAGAAAUGAAGAUUAAUACUCCAUAAUGCUAAGAGAUGGCAUCAUUUUUUAGUUAAAGAUUUAUCGGUACAAGAUGACUAUGCGUCCUAUUAGCUAGAUGGUAAGGUAACGGCUUACCAUGGCAACGAUAGGUAGGGGGUCUGAGAAGAUUAUCCCCCACACUGGUACUGAGACACGGACCAGACUCCUACGGGAGGCAGCAGUGAGGAAUAUUGGUCAAUGGGCGCAAGCCUGAACCAGCCAUGCCGCGUGCAGGAUGACUGCCCUAUGGGUUGUAAACUGCUUUUAUACAGGAAGAAACAGUCCCUCGUGAGGGGCCUUGACGGUACUGUAAGAAUAAGCACCGGCUAACUCCGUGCCAGCAGCCGCGGUAAUACGGAGGGUGCAAGCGUUAUCCGGAAUCAUUGGGUUUAAAGGGUCCGCAGGCGGUCAAUUAAGUCAGAGGUGAAAUCCUACAGCUUAACUGUAGAACUGCCUUUGAUACUGGUUGACUUGAGUUAUACGGAAGUAGGUAGAAUGUGUAGUGUAGCGGUGAAAUGCAUAGAUAUUACACAGAAUACCGAUUACGAAGGCAGCCUACUACGUAUAUACUGACGCUCAUGGACGAAAGCGUGGGGAGCGAACAGGAUUAGAUACCCUGGUAGUCCACGCCGUAAACGAUGGACACUAGUUGUUGGGCGUAAGCUCAGUGACUAAGCGAAAGUGAUAAGUGUCCCACCUGGGGAGUACGAUCGCAAGAUUGAAACUCAAAGGAAUUGANNGGGGCCCNCACAAGCGG